AUACGUAGGUGGCAAGCGUUGUCCGGAAUUAUUGGGCGUAAAGCGCGCGCAGGUGGUUCCUUAAGUCUGAUGUGAAAGCCCCCGGCUCAACCGGGGAGGGUCAUUGGAAACUGGGGAACUUGAGUGCAGAAGAGGAUAGUGGAAUUCCAAGUGUAGCGGUGAAAUGCGUAGAGAUUUGGAGGAACACCAGUGGCGAAGGCGACUGUCUGGUCUGUAACUGACACUGAGGCGCGAAAGCGGGGGGAGCAAACAGGAUUAGAUACCCUGGUAGUCCACGCCGUAAACGAUGAGUGCUAAGUGUUGGGGGGUUUCCGCCCCUCAGUGCUGCAGCUAACGCAUUAAGCACUCCGCCUGGGGAGUACGGCCGCAAGACUGAAACUCAAAUGAAUUGACGGGG
rnacentral:rRNA from 1 species